GUGCCGUAAACUAUGAGUAAAGAAAAUAAAAAGCCUUGGUGACUCUUGGCUUCACAGAAAUGUUUUUGUGAAGAGAAAAGGUCCCCCGCGGGUGACAGGUCUACUUUGCUGGUUUCCUGAAGCGCGGGAUCCCUCUU